AGCCUGCUAGUUGCACGAGUUUAGACUCGUAGCAUAUAGCUCAGUAACACGUGGCCAAACUACCCUACAGACCGCGAUAACCUCGGGAAACUGAGGCCAAUAGCGGAUAUUACUCUCAGGCUGGAGUGCCGAGAGUGAGAAACGUUCCGGCGCUGUAGGAUGUGGCUGCGGCCGAUUAGGUAGAUGGUGGGGUAACGGCCCACCAUGCCGAUAAUCGGUACGGGUUGUGAGAGCAAGAGCCUGGAGACGGUAUCUGAGACAAGAUACCGGGCCCUACGGGGCGCAGCAGGCGCGAAACCUUUACACUGCACGACAGUGCGAUAGGGGGACUCCGAGUGUGAGGGCAUAUAGCCCUCGCUUUUCUGAACCGUAAGGUGGUGCAGGAACAAGGACUGGGCAAGACCGGUGCCAGCCGCCGCGGUAAUACCGGCAGUCCAAGUGAUGGCCGAUAUUAUUGGGCCUAAAGCGUCCGUAGCUUGCUGUGUAAGUCCAUUGGGAAAUCGACCAGCUCAACUGGUCGGCGUCCGGUGGAAACUACACGGCUUGGGGCCGAGAGACUCGACGGGUACGUCCGGGGUAGGAGUGAAAUCCUGUAAUCCUGGACGGACCACCAAUGGGGAAACCACGUUGAGAGACCGGACCCGACAGUGAGGGACGAAAGCCAGGGUCUCGAACCGGAUUAGAUACCCGGGUAGUCCUGGCUGUAAACAAUGCUCGCUAGGUAUGUCACGCGCCAUGAGCACGUGAUGUGCCCUAGUGAAGACAAUAAGCGAGCCGCCUGGGAAGUACGUCCGCAAGGAUGAAACUUAAAGGAAUUGGCGGGGGAGCACCACAACCGGAGGAACCUGCGGUUUAAUUGGACUCAACGCCGGAAAUCUCACCGGUCCCGACAGUAGUAAUGACAGUCAGGUUGACGACUUUACUCGACGCUACUGAAAGGAGGUGCAUGGCCGCCUUCAGCUCGUACCGUGAGGCGUCCUGUUAAGUCAGGCAACGAGCGAGACCCACACUUCUAGUUGCCAGCAUCCCCCUUGCGGUAGUUGGGUACACUAGGAGGACUGCCAUUGCUAAAUCGCAGGAAGGAA
rnacentral:rRNA from 1 species